UACGAAGGGGGCUAGCGUUGCUCGGAAUCACUGGGCGUAAAGCGCACGUAGGCGGCUUUCUAAGUCAGGGGUGAAAUCCUGGAGCUCAACUCCAGAACUGCCUUUGAUACUGGAGAGCUUGAGUCCGGGAGAGGUGAGUGGAACUCCGAGUGUAGAGGUGAAAUUCGUAGAUAUUCGGAAGAACACCAGUGGCGAAGGCGGCUCACUGCCCGGUACUGACGCUGAUGUGCGAAAGCGUGGGGAGCAAACAGG
rnacentral:rRNA from 1 species